UGAGACUGUAAUGAUAUAUGCUCCAUGAUGAUUUCACAAGUGACCUUUAAAUGGUCUCUGUUCUAGAGAGAAACAUGUGAAUCUAGACUUAAGAAUGACGACUAAAUUUGUCAAGGCCUUAGCAAUGUCCAAAGAGCCAUAAGAUGGCCACCUAGCACUUUGGCAUAUGUACAGAAGGGUCUGUUUCUCCAUUUUUCUUCAUACUAUCUUUAGCUGAUUGCUUAGUAUUUAGUGAUUUAAUAAGACAUUUAGUAUUAAUAAAGAAUGUAAAAAUCCAGAAAACCUCAGGAGCAUAAUAUAGCCAUGAGAGCAGACUGUGGCCUGCUCAUUAGUGAUGAUGAAGCAUAAACCAGAUGGAAUUCAAGGACAUUUUGUAGGAUUAUCAGUUAGGUUGCACUAUUCUUAAACUUCAAGCUGUGUUUAUUUGUGGAUCUUACAAUGCCAUUCUUGCAUUCACUUUCAGGAGAGAAUUGCAGCUUUAAAAAGGUAUAAAUAACACAUAAGAGCAAGGCAGCUGAGCAUGGUGUCCCUGACGUACUCCAGCAAUUGUACAAAGCACUGUUUAUUCCUUUGCUGUUGCUGCCUGGUGUUCAUGCUGUGAUGCCUAGGAGAACCUGUGCCUUGUUUCUCUCCAGGAGAAGUCCUUUCUGUUGAGGGUUUUGAAUGAUGCAGAAUUUUAGGCUGAUCCAUUUGGUCUUGUAUGGCUCAUAUCUGCCAAUUGUAACAGCAAGCAAAAGACGUUCUCUCAUUUCCACUUCUCUCCCUUGAACGCAUAACUCUCUCUUUUUCUGAGAAGCUGAGGAAGUUGAGAAUGACCCAUGUAAUGAGAUGGCCAGAUGUAGUUUGAAAAGCAAGAUCCACAAACUUCACUCCCUCUGCCCUUAGAGGUGUACCUCUUUUUAAGUAAGUGGAAGAUGGGUGAGCUGAGGCAGAUGUCAAGAAAAGUGUAUUUUACACCUCAAAAGCUGUCACAGCAGAAGCGCUAGCCUGUGGUUCAAUGAUGGAAUAUGAAGAUAGCAGAUGGCAUCAGAACGGAUAUCUGUCAGAACAGGGCCGAAGAAGAAGUCUUCAAAUAAGUAACAGUUUUGACUGUGUAGGCUUUAGAAGUGAACCAGGGAAAGGCAAAAUCAAUAUGCUGUGUUAUAGACAGUAAAAAAUGCUCAGUGAGUUUAGCAUCAGCCUUAAAAGAUCAGUCAGAAAACACACAGGUUAGCAUACUACUUGCAAGCCAAAGAAAAGGGCUGGUUGAAAACACAUAUUAAAGAAGGAAUUUCAACAGAUUUGUCCUUUUCCUUGUGAAUAUAAAUGUUACUGCCACAAGGAUGUUGAAGAUGAAUUAGCAUAGAAAUGGAAGUAUUUUUGUAUCAUGCCUAGCUCAUUGCUUUCCACAGAAAAGAUGUGAAAAGAGCAGCCUUAGGAUUCUUCAUGUGGCUCUCUGCUUCUGAAUGGGCCUCUCAAGUAAGUAGAGGCAAAGAUUAGAAAGAGGUUCCUAAACUGAACCAGAAAUAACUUUUUUUUUCCCUAAGGUAAAGAGCAAAACAUUUUUGGUGUUUUAUUUCCUCCAGUGGCAAAUUCAUCCUGAUGAUUUCCAGAUCUGAGGCUGAACUACUGGGAAUGUGGUUGGACUUAGUGAAUCCUUCAUGCUCUCAAACUUGCUUUAUAAUGUUAAAAUGAUUAUAGCU